rnacentral:rRNA from 1 species
AACGUAGGAGACAAACGUUAUCCGGAGUUACUGGGCGUAAAGGGCGUGCAGGCGGUUCGGUAAGUCUGGCGUGAAAUCAUUCGGCUUAACCGGGUGAUGUCGUCGGAGACUGUCGGACUAGAGGGCAAUAGAGGCGGGUGGAAUUCCGGGUGUAGUGGUGAAAUGCGUAGAGAUCCGGAGGAACACCAGUGGCGAAGGCGACCCGCUGGGUGCACCUGACGCUAAGACGCGACAGCAUGGGGAGCGAACGGG